rnacentral:rRNA from 1 species
GACGAACGCUGGCGGCGUGCCUAAUACAUGCAAGUAGAACGCUGAAGGAGGAGCUUGCUCUUCUGGAUGAGUUGCGAACGGGUGAGUAACGCGUAGGUAACCUGCCUGGUAGCGGGGGAUAACUAUUGGAAACGAUAGCUAAUACCGCAUAACAGUAGAUGUUGCAUGACAUUUACUUAAAAGGUGCAAUUGCAUCACUACCAGAUGGACCUGCGCUGUAUUAGCUAGUUGGUGGGGUAACGGCUCACCAAGGCGACGAUACAUAGCCGACCUGAGAGGGUGAUCGGCCACACUGGGACUGAGACACGGCCCAGACUCCUACGGGAGGCAGCAGUAGGGAAUCUUCGGCAAUAGACGGAAGUCUGACCGAGCAACGCCGCGUGAGUGAAGAAGGUUUUCGGAUCGUAAAGCUCUGUUGUAAGAGAAGAACGAGUGUGAGAGUGGAAAGUUCACACUGUGACGGUAUCUUACCAGAAAGGGACGGCUAACUACGUG